GUUUACCCUGAAGUUGUACUUCCUUCGCGGCCUCAUCUUGCGCGGAAGCGAAACCAGCGAGGGCGAGACGAGGGAAAGGUGCUUCAUGGGCGCAGCAAGCGCAACGCCGGCAGGUGCAUGUUUAAUGCCGCAAGUGGAGGCGGUCCCGAACGCUGAAGCCAUGGAUUGGUCGGACUACUGCAAGAAAUUUGGAGGUUUGCAUCAGCACUCAGCUAUCCAUCUAAUGUAUCCGCGACCGUGGAUGAGCGGCAGCGCAACUGCAAGAGAGAACCCCCAGCCGCCGGUGGACUGACGGAUGGAUCGAUCCGG
rnacentral:lncRNA from 1 species